GUCAGCGAAUGCUGGUCCUCGUCAACAUCCAGCCUCAGAAAGUAAUUACAUGCGUAACUACAAUGAUGAGGUAAGACUGGUGCUAGUAGUGAGUUUAGUAUGAGUUUGAGUUGUGAGCAUCACUGCUGACUUGUGCUUUAACUAAUGUUUAUACAUGCAAAAUCAAGCAUCCUGUUUACGCGGGAUUAACAGAUGCUAAUUUUGGCUAUUACGCGCUCAAUCCAGCGCAGCAAGUAACUGUAAGAGCAAAUUAUACACCAGAUAAGCAAAUGCCAUUUCAAUUUGUCCCUCAAAUUGCACCCCCGAGAGUUUCAACCUCUUCUGCUAUGUCCAUCCCAGGAAAAUACGUUCUUGCCCCGCACUUGUUUUUUGUGAGUACUGCCUCUAAACGGACCUUUUUUUUUAAUUACCAGUUUAUUAUAUUUAUUUUUUUCAUAUCAUGUUACCGUUAUUUAUUAAUUAAUAUGAAUAAAUAACUUGUAUAUUGCAGCAAGAUGAACCCAUAAUUUGGGAAACCGAAUCAUUAAGCCUUCACUAUCAGUGGCUUUUAAGCCAAAGAUGAUCUGCCAUUUAGUAUCCGUUUGCAUAUAUGUUCGGGAUGAAGCCAACCUGAUCCAAAGCGCGCGCCAGAUGAAAGCUGUGAAGCUUUUUGUUUAAUGUAUAAUUACUUAAUUUUUAUUGCUAUAUAUCAUGGUCAUGUGUCGGGUUUGAUCAUAAAAUAUCCAGAAAUGAACUGCUAUGUUAAUUAUUUAUACUGCAGCAGCAGUACU
rnacentral:lncRNA from 1 species